rnacentral:rRNA from 1 species
GAUUCUGGCUCAGGACGAACGCUGGCGGCGUGCUUAACACAUGCAAGUUGAACGGUCCGGCAUGGAAGCUUGCUGAAGUGUCGGGUAGUAGCGGACGGGUGAGUAAUGCAUGAGAAGCUGCCAUUGGGAGGGGGACAACAGUUGGAAACGGCUGCUAAUACCCCAUAUACCGGAAGGUGAAACGGAGUAAUCCGCCCGAUGAGGUGCUCAUGUCCUAUCAGCUUGUUGGUGAGGUAACGGCUCACCAAGGCGACGACGGGUAGCCGGCCUGAGAGGGUGACCGGCCACACUGGAACUGAGAUACGGUCCAGACUCCUACGGGAGGCAGCAGUGGGGAAUAUUGGGCAAAUGGGGGCAACCCUGACCCAGCGACGCCGCGUGAGGGAAGACGGCCUUCGGGUUGUAAACCUCUUUUGUACGGGAAGAAGGACGUGACGGUACCGUGCGAAUAAGUCCCGGCUAACUACGUGCCAGCCGCUGC